CUAAUAGCCAUCUUUUCACCUUGAAGCAUGGACAAGCUUUGGGUGGUUUCUCAAGGCAAGGUGGCGCCUUUCUGUGGGAAUUUCCAGGAUCAUAAUAAGAUACUUCAGUCCUUGUCAAAUCAGAUUGUUUGCGGUUGCUUGUUCCAAGGACACAGGCAAUGUUGCUCUUCUUAAGCAGCAAUAUGGAUGGAAUAAAACCGCUAAUGAGGUCAUUAUCGUUGUAGAAGCUUAUUGAACUCUGAGGGAUCGGAGGCCUACCCUGCUGAUCAAGUCGUGAGAGACAUCAGCAGGAAGUUUGGUUUUGUGCUCUUCGACAGCUCUUCUAAAACCCUUUUCUGGCCUGUUUUUCCUUCCUUCUGGGGAAUUGAUUCUGGAGGCAGUCUUGUUUGCUCAGAUGAUGCAGAAGUGGUGAAGAUGGGCUUUGGAAGUCUUUUGCACCAUUCCCUAAAGGAUGCUUCUUUACCAGCUCUAAAUGUUUGAGGAGUUACGAGCAUGCACCGAAUGAGGUGAAGCCAGUUCCUAGGGUGAAUAGCUCGGGCUGAGUGCAAAGCGCUACAUUUGAAGUGGUGCAGAGACUAAGGAGUCCAGCAUGCCUAGAGUUGGGAGUGCUGCGAACUUGUCCUUGCACUGCCGAGUCAUAUGCAUUGUGGCCCUUUUUUGGCCAGGCCAUUAGCUAUUGAACGGCCUUCUGGUUCUUAUGACCCAGUCAC